AACGAACGCUGGCGGCAUGCCUAACACAUGCAAGUCGAACGAGACCUUCGGGUCUAGUUGCGCACGGGUGCGUAACGCGUGGGAACCUGCCCUUAGGUUCGGAAUAACUCCCCGAAAGGGGUGCUAAUACCGGAUAAUGCCUUCGGACCAAAGAUUUAUCGCCUUUGGAUGGGCCCGCGUUGGAUUAGCUAGUUGGUAGGGUAAAAGCCUACCAAGGCGACGAUCCAUAGCUGGUCUGAGAGGAUGAUCAGCCACACUGGGACUGAGACACGGCCCAGACUCCUACGGGAGGCAGCAGUGGGGAAUAUUGGACAAGGGGCGAAAGCCUGAUCCAGCAAUGCCGCGUGAGUGAUGAAGGCCUUAGGGUUGUAAAGCUCUUUUACCCGGGAUGAUAAUGACAGUACCGGGAGAAUAAGCUCCGGCUAACUCCGUG
rnacentral:rRNA from 1 species